UACGUAGGGGGCAAGCGUUGUCCGGACUUAUUGGGCGUAAAGAGCGUGUAGGCGGCUUGGUAGGUCUUGCGUCAAAACCUGAGGCUCAACCUCAGUUCGCGUGGGAAACCAUCUAGCUAGAGUCCGGAAGAGGAGAACGGAAUUCCCAGUGUAGCGGUGAAAUGCGCAGAUAUUGGGAAGAACACCAGUGGCGAAGGCGGUUCUCUGGGACGGUACUGACGCUGAGACGCGAAAGCGUGGGGAGCGAACAGG
rnacentral:rRNA from 1 species